rnacentral:misc_RNA from 1 species
UCUCCGUAGGUGAACCUGCGGAGGGAUCAUUACAGAGUUCAUGCCCUAACGGGUAGAUCUCCCACCCUAUGUUAUCAUCACUUUGUUGCUUUGGCGGGCCGUCAGGCCUCGGCUUGGCUACCGGCUCUCGCUGGUAAGCGCCCGCCAGAGAACCCAAACCCUGAAUAUCAGUGUCGUCUGAGUACUAUAUAAUAGUUAAAACUUUCAACAACGGAUCUCUUGGUUCUG